rnacentral:misc_RNA from 1 species
AAGGCGUAACAAGGUUUCCGUAGGUGAACCUGCGGAAGGAUCAUUAAUACGUAUCCAACGUUAAACCCCCCCUGUGAACUUUUACACUUGCUUCGAAGCGCGCUGGGAUUGUAACCUGGUUUCCCCAAGCAGUCAAUGUCUGAAAGUGUCAUUGAUUGUGUAAGGAUAACGCUUUUCGGUCACUGGAGGUCGACACCUGCUGGUGGACAGGUUGCAGUGGGCUUCACGCCCCCAUAUUAACCCCUACCUGUAACGGCCUCGUAGGAAACUACUGGGACUAACGAACAACUGUUAACAAUGGAUAUCGGUUCUC